GACGAACGCUGGCGGCGUGCCUAACACAUGCAAGUCGAGCGGGGUUGAAGCGAGGGGUAACUCGAACUUCUACCUAGCGGCGGACGGGUGAGUAACGCGUGGGCAACCUGCCUCAAGGUCUGGGAUAACAGCUCGAAAGGGCUGCUAAUACCGGAUAUGCCUAUAGCCUCGCAUGGGGCUAUGAGCAAAGGGGAAACCCGCCUUGAGAUGGGCCCGCGUCCCAUCAGCUAGUUGGUGAGGUGAAGGCUCACCAAGGCGACGACGGGUAGCCGGCCUGAGAGGGUGACCGGCCACACUGGGACUGAGACACGGCCCAGACUCCUACGGGGGGCAGCAGUGGGGAAUCUUGCACAAUGGGCGAAAGCCUGAUGCAGCGACGCCGCGUGAGCGAAGAAGGCCUCGGUUGUAAGCUCUGUCUGGAGGGACGAAGAAAGUGACGGUACCUCCGGAGGAAGGCCACGGCUAACUACGUGCCAGCAGCGCGGUAAUCAUACUCGUA
rnacentral:rRNA from 1 species